rnacentral:rRNA from 1 species
GUAAGCGCAAGUCAUCAGCUUGCGCUGAUUACGUCCCUGCCCUUUGUACACACCGCCCGUCGCUACUACCGAUUGAAUGGCUCAGUGAGGCGUCCGGACUGGCCCGGGGAGGUGGGAAACCGCCACCCGGGGCCGGGAAGCUCUCCAAACUCGGUCAUUUAGAGGAAGUAAAAGUCGUAACAAGGUCUCCGUUGGUGAACCAGCGGAGGGAUCAUUA